CGAGGUAUGGGGACGACCCGUUUCACCCUCAUACCGGACGGGGUAUUGAAGUUCAUGGUUUUGGCGCCCAUACCGGACGGGGUAUGGGGACGACCCUGGAAUCAGAUUAUUAAUGUUAAUGGUUCACGUGUAGCGGAGACCCCCUAUGGAUCUCCACGGAUACUAAUAGGUUGGUAAAAGAGGAAAUUUGUUGUAUGAUUAUUGAAGUACAAAGUAUAACAUGUGUUAUGUUACAAAGCGUAUAUGAUUUUAUGAUGGUUAUAAUGUUUUUGUUUCCAUAUGAUAUUUUUAUGAAUCUCACCGAGGUAAGUAGACAGUAAAAAUUUUUAUUGUUGAUAAAUGAGUUUGUUAAUAAUUAUGCUCCAUUGGUCGCUUUUGUUUUCUACCAGCCUUUACUUCUGUGGCAGUGAGAUAAUGUGAUGUCUUUACUGGGCUAGUGUAUCUCAUUCCUUACUUAACUAUUUCAGAUCAGAAAGACGUGGUUCUUGAGCCCGUUCUACAGGAAGACGACGAGUUAGACGUCUAGAGACUUCAUAGUUCUAUUUAUAGUUUUUAUUUCGAGUAUUUCUUUUAAUCAGCUUAUUCUUUCAUACGUUAAAUACGUUUAUGGUCAUUGUGUAAGGGAUGUUAAUC
rnacentral:lncRNA from 1 species